CCUACGGGUGGCAGCAGUGGGGAAUAUUGCGCAAUGAGCGAAAGCCUGACGCAGCGACGCCGCGUGAGGGAUGAAGAUCUUCGGAUCGUUAACCUCUGUCAGCAGGGAAGAACGGUCCCUGUGCUAAUCAGCCUUGACUUUACGGUACCUGCAAAGGCAGCACCGUCUCACUCCGUGCCAGCAGCCGCGGUAAUACGGAGGGUGCGAGCGUUAAUCGGAAUUACUGGGCGUAAAGAGGUCGUAGGCGGUAUGUCAAGUCAAGGGGGAAAUCCCCGCGCUCAACGUGGGAACUGACGUUGAAACUGGCAAACUGGAGUGUGUGAGAGGUGAGUGGAAUUCCAGGUGUAGGAGUGAAAUCCGUAGAUAUCUGGAGGAACACCAGUGGCGAAGGCGACGAUCUGGCACAUAACUGACGCUGAGGAGCGAAAGCGUGGGUAGCAAACAGGAUUAGAUACCCUUGUAGUC
rnacentral:rRNA from 1 species